rnacentral:rRNA from 1 species
UACGUAGGGUGCGAGCGUUAAUCGGAAUUACUGGGCGUAAAGCGUGCGCAGGCGGUUUUGUAAGCCAGAUGUGAAAUCCCCGGGCUUAACCUGGGAGUGGCAUUUGGGACUGCAAGGCUGGAGUGUGGCAGAGGAGACUGGAAUUCCUGGUGUAGCAGUGAAAUGCGCAGAUAUCAGGAGGAACACCGGUGGCGAAGGCGGGUCUCUGGGCCGAUACUGACGCUGAGGAGCGAAAGCGUGGGGGAGCGAACAGG